rnacentral:rRNA from 1 species
UACGUAGGGUGCAAGCGUUAAUCGGAAUUACUGGGCGUAAAGCGUGCGCAGGCGGUCUGUUAAGACAGAUGUGAAAUCCCCGGGCUUAACCUGGGAACUGCAUUUGUGACUGGCAGGCUAGAGUAUGGCAGAGGGGGGUAGAAUUCCACGUGUAGCAGUGAAAUGCGUAGAGAUGUGGAGGAAUACCGAUGGCGAAGGCAGCCCCCUGGGCCUGCACUGACGCUCAUGCACGAAAGCGUGGGGAGCAAACAGG